rnacentral:rRNA from 1 species
AUUGAACGCUGGCGGCAGGCCUAACACAUGCAAGUCGAGCGGAGCGGCGCACGGGUGAGUAAUGCCUAUGUAUCUGCCUGGUAGUGGGGGCUAACGUCCGGAAACGGGCGCUAAUACCACCUACUAUCAGAUGAGGCUAGGUCGGAAUAGUUAGUGGGGGGGGUAAAGGCCUACAAAGGCGACGGUCCGUAACUGGUCUGAGAGGAUGAGCAGUCACACUGGAACUGAGACACGGUCCAGACUCCUACGGGAGGCAGCAGUGGGGAAUAUUGGACAAUGGGCGAAAGCCUGAUCCAGCCAUGCCGCGUGUGUGAAGAAGGUCUUCGGAUUGUAAAGCACUUUAAGUUGGGAGGCGUUACCAACAGAAUAAGCACCGGCUAACUUCGUGCCAGCCGCCGCGGUAAUAC